rnacentral:rRNA from 1 species
UACGUAGGGUGCAAGCGUUAAUCGGAAUUACUGGGCGUAAAGCGUGCGCAGGCGGUUAUGUAAGACAGUUGUGAAAUCCCCGGGCUCAACCUGGGAAUUGCAUCUGUGACUGCAUAGCUAGAGUACGGUAGAGGGGGGAUGGAAUUCCGCGUGUAGCAGUGAAAUGCGUAGAUAUGCGGAGGAACACCGAUGGCGAAGGCAAUCCCCUGGACCUGUACUGACGCUCAUGCACGAAAGCGUGGGGGAGCAAACAGG